UUCCAGCUACACAUGGCACGUUGAAUAUACAUAAAACAAACACAGUGAUAAAAAUGUUUCUGAACUACAUUUUGAAAACUUGUGGAGAAAAAAGCGCGGGAAGCCCAAGAGAGGGUCAGAGAAUGAGAGAGAUAUUAGACAAAUUACUAAGAAAGAAUAGAAAGGCAGACAGAUGCAGAAGACAUCAAAGAGCAAGAAGAGGUCCAACUUCAGACCUAUACGGACUUACUUCAUCUUUUCCUCUCCAGAUGCAAUUCUACCUGCAGAAGUAGUGACUUUAACUCAUAUGGCAACUGAUAUAAAUGUUGACAACGUGAAGGGUAAGGGACUUGGAUGUGAAUUUCCAUCUUACUCAUGAGCAAAACAAAAUGUGGCAGCAUCAUGACAUUAACAGUCAAUCAGACAUAGGACAAGUGCAGUUUGAUUAAAUGUAGGAAAAAAGAGAAAGCCCAACUCUAUUGUUCCUGAAACCAUUAGUGAAACAGAAUCUAAUGGAGAGGAAAGACCUCACAGAUUAUUUAUUCCCUGCCCUUUCCUGGCAUACAAACAUAGGAAACUUGGCUCAUUCCUAGUAAAAUAUAGAGAAAGUCUAGGUAUUUCUCAAAUUAAACUGACCCUUAUAUAAGAAUUCUGUUUCUGCAGGUGGGACACAGACGCUUAGAGCUUCUCUAUAAGGAUAUUAUCAAUGAUCCUCAGUUUGGACACAUUAGCAGAAUAUGACUCUGUAGGAGAAAAUUUUUCUGUAGCCUGUAAGCACUGCCCUCUUGUGAAAAGAUUGCAUUCCUGAGGAAAACCACUUGUCCUAUAUUCCUAGUAACACCUAUGGCAGGAAGGAAGUCAUUGCUGCCUGGGGAAACGGAGGGGGCUCGUUCACUGGCACUGCUGUGUUGCCUGCAGUCUCAGGGCAUGGGCGCCCCCCACCAUCGUGGGGGUGGGGUAGGGCUAAACCGAAUGUCAUUGUUCUUCCUGCAGUCUCUGGUCACUGGCCCGCGCUGGUGAGCAUUUUGAAAUCUCAGGUCAGAGCACCACCACCCUUGCUGUGGAUAUCUGUGCUGUGGAUGCUGUACCCACGGCUGGAAACACCAGAGCCACUGUCAGAGAGAGAGAGAGGGAGCUGGGUCGCUGGCACUGCUGUGUGUCCUGAAGCCUCAGGUCGUGUGCACGACCCACCACUGCUGGGACAAAGAGGGGCUAUGCAACAAGCACCAUGCCUGCUCCUGUAGCCUCAGGCUGCUGAUGCAUGCAGCUGUGCUCCUCAGGUUAGGACACCAGAACCACCGCUGGCAGCAUACACAUUUUGUAUUGCCACUGCCUUCGGAGGGGAGGGGGCUGCUUCCCUAGUUCCAUUGCUCUAGCCCACCAACCUUUUGACGUAUAGAUGCACGGAAGUCUCAGGCAUUCUGGUGUUCUUUGCAGCGAGUCCUUUUUUGGUCAAUUGAUGUCCCACUAGGUGUAACAUAAAGUGGACAGACAAAGAGAACAACUGACUUUACCAUGAUGCAGCUGUCACGUUUCUUUUUUUAAAAUUAAUUAUUUAUUUAUUUUCUGAUGUACAUCAUAAUAUAUUUCGAAUUCUGUGUAGAUUACAUCGUGUUCACCACCAGAAAAUGAAUUAUAGUCCGUCACCUCACAUGGGAGCCUCAUCACCCCUAUGCCUCCCCCCUGCCCCCCUCCUCCUAUGAUAACCACCAAUCCAAUCUCCAAUGCUAUGUGUUUGUUUGUCAUUGUUUUUAUCCUUUACUUAUGAGGGAGAUAAUAUGGAAUUUGAGUUUCUCGCCCUGACUUAUUUAACUCAGCAUAAUACCCUUAAGACCCAUCCGUGUUGUCACAAAUGGCCAGAUUUCAUCUUUUCUUAUGGCUGAGUAGUAGUCCAUCGUGUAUAAAUACCACAUCUUCUUUAUCCAUUCGUCCCCUGAUGGGCACCUAGGUUGCUUCCAAGUCUUGGCUAUUGUGUAUAACGCUGCAACGAACAUGGGGUGCCAGUAUCUUUGUGCCUUUGUGUUUUCAAGUUCCUUGGAUAAAUACCCAGCAGUGGGAUAGCUGGAUCAUAUGGUAGAUCUAUCCUUAAUUUUCUGAGGGAACUCCAUACUGCUUUCCAUAGUGGCUGCACCAGUCUGCACUCCCACCAGCAGUGAACAAGCGCUCCCUUCUCUCCACAUCCUCUUCAAUAUUUGUUGUUUCCUGUCUUGUUAAUUAUAGCCAUUCUGACCAGGGUGAGGUGAUCCCUCUUUGUAGUUUUGAUUUGCAUUUCCCUGAUAGCUAAUGAUGUUAUUUUACUUCUGUAUCUGAAAUCUUUUCACAUGUUAUAUUAAUGUAGUGUAUAAAAUUGGAGUAUGACCAACAGCGAGAGUGAGGAAUGCUAGCAGUAACUUCCUGCUUCCAUUCCUUGACUUCUCUUCUAUGAUAUGGCACAUGGGGAAACCUCAAAAGUGUCUUGUGGGUAAUAGAGGCUAGAUCUUUCUCACUGUCUUCUCACAAGGGUUGGAUACAAAAAGAGUACAGAGAACUUGGUUCCAAGAUGGAAAAAAGCCAGGGACUCUAGGGAAUAUUUCUCUCCACGGUUAAUUGACCCUUAGAGAAGAUGUCCCCAUGUUGUCUUCAGAGCCACGUUCAUUGAGAUAACUAGUUCUCCUGACCUCUACAGACUGAGUCCAGGAAAGCCCUUUGGGAAUGCUCAUCUUCGUGCAUACAAGUG
rnacentral:lncRNA from 1 species